GUGCUCGCUUCCGCAGCACAUAUACUGAAAUUGGAAUGAUACGGAGAUUAGCAUGGCACCUGCACAAGGAUGACACCCAAAUUCGUGAAGCAUUCCACAUUAAA